rnacentral:lncRNA from 1 species
ACUCAAACCAGCUGUAUUAAGGAAGGUGCAAGCUUUUGGGAUUUCUGUUUGGAUUUAGUUUAGGUUCAAAAGAGCACGCACAGAUCCUGAGUGUUGUCAAGCACCCGUGACUGGGAAACGGAGGCGUCCGAUCCGUAUUGGAGUCAAUUCGCCACUUAAUUGAACACAGCCUCGAAGGGAAGGGCCAUAUUUGUGGGCCUGUCUAACAAUUAAGAGUGACCACAUGGAAUGGGGGAUGAAAGGGUUAAAGAAGAACAAAUAUUGAACACAGCUUUUCUAUGAACAAACUGCAGGCAGCUGCUGCUUUGCAAGGGGAACUUCUUGGCUGCCAUUUCUGGAUGUCAAGGCUGCAGAUACACUGGUCAGGACCCUGGGUAGAGAGAGAUGCGUCAGAAUGCGGCUCCUUUCAGAAAGGCUUCUCCGGAGAAAAACCCUUUGAAAAGAUUCAGCACGUUGCCAUGGAGAACAUCCCACUGAAGGAAUGUAUAGAAGUAGCAGGGAUCUGCAAUGAGAUGGGAGAAGGCAACAGGCUGUGUGGGAACCACUGAAGCUGGGAUGGCAGGGAAAGAACAUCUUAGGCUAACUCUUCAAGCCUUGCUGUCACAUUUGCUUUUGAGUCUAUGGUGUCAGCUGCCUACCAGUUGCUUUCAUCUCUAGAAAUCUGUGACUUGCAGUAUGACAAGAACAAAAGGUGACAAUACAAAGGACAAAGGGCAAGGAAUACAGACGGAGAAGCCGCUUAGAGUCUAGGAUGGCAGAGGUUCUCUUGAUCAUUUCAUUUUUGAGCGCUUGUAGAGCUUUGGUGUACCAGAGGUGCUUGAACAGCUUACCACACCACAGAUGAAUGGCCUUUGGAUUUCUCCUAAGAAAAUGUGGCUACCUGAAAUUCAACUCCAUUUUCUGGUCUUCAAUAUUUCUUUUGUGUUCAGUUUGCCAGCUGAGGAGAAGUGGCUAAGCAUAGCCUGUUACUGAUGCUAAAGCCCAAGUUCUGAACCUAACAACUCCAGCAACAUGAUCCUGUUUCAAGAGACAAAAAAGUGACUAAUGAAAGAAAACAAUUGAUGUGCUAUGUAGAGUUUAAAAGAAGGUAAAGAGAAUAAAUUAAAAGCAACAACUCUCUUCU